rnacentral:rRNA from 1 species
GAGCGUGCGAAGGCGCAAGCCGCUGUAUACGCUCUGACGCCUGCCCGGUGCCGGAAGGUUAAGAGGAUCCGUCAGGCUUCGGCCGAAGCGGUGAAUUCAAGCCCCGGUAAACGGCGGUGGUAACUAUAACCAUCCUAAGGUAGCGAAAUUCCUUGUCGGGUAAGUUCCGACCUGCACGAAUGGCGUAACGACUUCCCCACUGUCUCGACCAGGAGCUCGGCGAAAUUGCAGUACGAGUAAAGAUGCUCGUUAAGCGCAGAAGGACGAAAAGACCCCGGGACCUUUACUAUACCUUGGUAUUGGCAUUCGGUGUGGAUUGUGUAGCAUAGGCGGAAGGCUUCGAAGCCACGGCGCCAGCCGCGGUGGAGCCGCAAGGUGAAAUACCGCUCUGUUCGCAUUGGAUGUCUAACCUCGACCAGUCAUCCUGGUCAGGGACAGUGCCUGGCGGGUAGUUUAACUGGGGCGGUUGCCUCCCAAAGAGUAACGGAGGCGCUCAAAGGUUCCCUCAGCCCGGUUGGCAAUCGGGUGGCGAGUGUAAGUGCACAAGGGAGCUUGACUGCGAGACUGACGGGUCGAGCAGGGACGAAAGUCGGAACUAGUGAUCCGGUGCCGGUGUACGGACGCGGCAUCGCUCAACGGAUAAAAGGUACCCCGGGGAUAACAGGCUGAUCAUUCCCAAGAGUCCAUAUCGACGGGAUGGUUUGGCACCUCGAUGUCGGCUCGUCGCAUCCUGGGGCUGGAGCAGGUCCCAAGGGUUCGGCUGUUCGCCGAUUAAAGCGGCACGCGAGCUGGGUUCAGAACGUCGUGAGACAGUUUGGUCUCUAUCCUCUGCGCUCGUCGGAAUGUUGAGGAGGCCUGCCCAUAGUACGAGAGGACCUGGGUGGACGAACCUCUGGUAUGCCGGUUGUCACGCCAGUGGCACGGCCGGUUGGCUACGUUCGGAAGGGAUAACCGCUGAAAGCAUCUAAGCGGGAAGCCUGCUCCAAGAUAAGCAUUCCAUAGGACUACGGGUCCUUGAAGUCCCCAUGCAGAACACGUGGUUGAUAGGCCGGACGUGGAAGCCCCGCGAGGGGUGGAGCCGACCGGUACUAACGGACGAAAGGCAACACAAC